CCUCUGAAUUAGAGUGAUAAGAUUAAAGUCUUAUAAAAGCAAGCAUUUAAAUGGUUUAUAGUUACCAAACUUGAAAUUCUAGUUAACACUGAUAAUAAUGCUAUUUUUAUUUAUUUAUUUUUAGGUAAACGAAAUAACUCAUAACAAAGAGCGAUCUACAAGCAAUCGCAGUUAUCGCCUCACCGCCCUGAUUGAUCGAUAUGCCGAAGGUCUAGACCAAAAAGCGCUCCACAGGAUGAUCAAUCUUCAGAGCAGCUUUCAUCAAUCAGCGAUAGCCAUUGAAAUCUGGAUCGGAAUCGGAAUCGGAAUCUGAAUCGGAAUACAAAAUGUCAGCACUCUGUCAACAGGCUGACAGCGGGAAGUGAAGAAGAGGGGGUCUGAAAUGCGAGACUCAUGAUGAUAUGAAAAAGAACAGACAGUGGGUUCUUAAUCCGUUUAAUUUGCAGAUGCAGUUGGCCAGAUAAACGGCAGCUAAAUGGGCAGUGGAAUAAUAAUAAAAAAAAAUGAGCAUAAAACGGCAGAGUGUCCCUGAAGUGAACGCGUCUCUUGUCUCGUUGAAUAUAAUUUAUGAGUCAAUUUCAGACAAUUAUUGUUAAAUAUUAUUAAGCAUUCGCUGGGCUGUCAAAACACGCGCCGCCAUCGUUUCGAAUGAUUUACAGGGAAUUGAAGACAAUUGUCACUCCGUCGCGAGUGAUGACAAAUUUUAAGUGGAUAAUCUUUCUUCAUAUUGUGUAUUGAAACCGAGACCGAGACUCUCUGUCAAGAGUCAAAAAUCUGAAAAGAUAAAAAAGGGAACGUGCGCAUUGCCAGCGCAAAUUAAUGUCAACACUGAUUAAGGCUGGCAACUAUGGCCCCUUUUAAAAGAAACCUCCCCACAAUUCCCCCCAUCUUUGCGAAACCCCUCAAAGGCAUUCCGCAAAUUUACACGACCAAGCGAAAAUGCGAAGACGCGUGGCUGCCAAUUAUGGCAAAAUGAGAGGAAACAAAAGGCGGAUGGGGGGGGAUCCAAAGGGGAUUCGGUGGGGAAUCAGUGGGGAAAGACAGCCAAAACGAGACGAAGACAGAUCGCCAAGAUCAGUGACAAUUUGUCGGUGGCAUCGGAUCACAGAAACCAGUCUUAAACGAUCCAAGAGAAACAAAUCAAACUUUUACGAGCCAGCGUUUCGAUGAAAAUAAACUAAGGAACAGAUAUCAAAUCAUUGAAACUAAAGAAAGAUGCGUUAAUCUUCGUAUUUGAUAUGUUUCUGAGGUGCAAAAACCCAUUUGCUCAUAAUUUAUUAUUAAAACGAAUUGUUUUAGAAUAAUCAAAACAUUGUAGAAAAGUUUAAAAGUAUUUUAAAUAUUUCUACUGAUUUUUACUUAAUUGUAUGUACUUCCCAAAGCUAAUAUUUAAAGAUAAAUAUAAUGAUAACAAAUCCAGAUAAUCAAAA